GGGGUGUAGCCUAGAAGAUGAGACUCCUGGGUCUUCUGUACCUGGUGACUGCCCUUCCUGCUGUCCUGUCCCAGAUCCAGCUUCAGGAGUCAGGACCUGGCCUGGUGAAGCCCUCACAAUCGCUGUCCCUCACUUGCUCUGUCACUGGUUACUCCAUCUCCAAUGAUUACUACUGGAACUGGAUCAGGCAGUUCCCAGGGAAGAAGCUGGAGUGGAUGGGGUACAUAAGUUAUAGUGGUAGCACUUACUACAACCCAUCCCUCCAGAGCCGCAUCUCCAUCACCAGGGAUACAUCCAAGAACCAGUUCUUCCUGCAGCUGAACUCUGUGACCUCUGAGGACACAGCCACUUAUUACUGUGCAAGAGACACAGUGAAGCAAGUUCAUCAUGAGCUCAGACACAAACUGCCCUGCAGUGGAGCUCUGCGCCAGCAGGGGGCGGUCAGCCAUAACCAAGCCCAGGUACUUUAA